GACGGAGGAGGCAAGCGGUCGCCGGAAGUAUAGGGCGAAAAGCGUCAGCCGGUGGCGAUUCAAGCCUGCUGUCAAAGGUCGGGGCUUAACCCCGGGAAGGCAGUGGAAACUGAAUAGCUAGAGUGCGGUAGGGGCAGAGGGAAUUCCCGGUGUAGCGGUGAAAUGCGUAGAGAUCGGGAAGAACACCACUGGCGAGAGCGCUCUGCUGGGCCUGCACUGACGCUGAGGGACGAAAGCUAGGGGAGUGAAAGGG
rnacentral:rRNA from 1 species